rnacentral:misc_RNA from 1 species
AGACCGGAUCGAGAAACUCAAGGGACAAACAAAGCAGCUGAUUGAGGAGGAGAAGGGAGUGGUGGAGCAACUCGAGCUCAUAGAUUCCCUGCAACAGUUAGGACUUGCAUAUCACUUUGAAGAAGAGAUAAUACAUGUCUUGACCGGCUUAUCAAAAUCAAUGGACCAUGUACUCAUGGUUAUCGAGCAUAAUCUGUAUGCCAAAGCCCAACUUUUUAGGCUUCUCA